rnacentral:rRNA from 1 species
GACGAACGCUGGCGGCGUGCUUAACACAUGCAAGUCGAACGGAAAGGCCCUGCUUUUGUGCGGUGCUCGAGUGGCGAACGGGGGAGUAACACGCGAGUAACCUGUCCUUGACUUUGGGAUAACUUCAGGGAACAGGGGCUCAUACCGGAUAGGAGCUCCUGCUGCAUGGUGGGGGUUGGAAAGAUACGGCGGUUGGGGAUGGUUUGGCGGGUUAUCGGCUUGUUGGUCGGGUAGUGGCUUACCAAGUCUUUGACGGGUAGCCGGCCUGGGAGGGUGACCGGCCACAUGGCGACUGAGAGACGGCGCAGAAGGCAACGGGCGGCAGCGGUGGGGAGUAUGGCGCAAUGGGCGGAAGCGUGUGACGGCAGCGUUGCGAGCGGGAUGACGGCCUUCGGGUUGUAAACCGCUGUCGCCUGUGACGAAGCGGGAGUGACGGUAAUGAGUAAAGAAGCACCGGCUAACUACGUG